GGUAGUGCCACCGAUGGUUGUCAGGGAGGCAAGCACCAUGAUAUGAAUGUUAUGCAGGAGUGAGUGGUAGUUUCCAUUCUUGUUGCCUAUUUCAAGUCUUGCUAUUGGAUUCAAAAGAGGUACAUAAUCUCUUAGCUGAACAGGUAGGCUUCACUAAAACAUUGUGAAUGAGAUAUCUGAGGCCCUAACCUAGGAUCCUUUGCAGUGCAUGUUUUGCACUGUACAAAGUUGUACAGCUCUAGAAGGCUGUCACAUCAUCCAAUCAUAGAAACGGAAGGCUAUUAAAAAUGUAUAGUGUAUGGCAUAAAUAAUGCGUCGUAUAUGGCACACAAUGCAUGUCUUGUUUGAUAGUCAUUCAUCUUUGUGAUUGGAUGAUAUGACAACCAUCCAAGGUUAUACCACUCAAUGUUGUACAUCAAGCAUUGCAGAGGAUCUGAUUUUUUUUAUAACAUAUUUUAUGUAAAAUAGAAAGAGACAUGUUUUACUCAUUUUACAAGUUUUAUGACUUGUCAGUUUUGACAAAAUAAGCUUAUGAAAAAUAACUAAACAACCAUUUUGCAAAACCAAUUUUGAGUCUCUGAAAGCUCAUUUUGCCAAACCUUGAAAACCAAGCAUCAUUUGGAUGAAGUCUCUUGGAAAAACUAGAUGUGGCAUAUCAUUGUCCCUUUACUUUAUUUAUUUUAUUUUCUAUUUAAAUGCAUGGUGAUAUGGUUACACUGGGUAUAAGGUGAGUGAUUGUUAGGCUGUUUGAUCCUAAUUUUUUAAUGACUUGCCAUCAAAACAACAUGGAGCA
rnacentral:lncRNA from 1 species